AGGUAAUCCGUCUUCUCUUGAGGCCAGCUUACUUGAGAACAGGAAGAAGACACUCCGAGUUGCUUUCCUAACGACCCGCACGGGAUACUUCAACUUGAAGAUCUACCGCCCGCCGGAUCGAUCAUUCGCCAUUCGUCAAGUCAGUCCGCCUGUUGACAUAUUACACUAUUCCUCUUUUGAACAUGUUCUGGAAGAAAUGACAAGGGCCAGCGAAUACGGUCUGUAGUGACCAUAACUACGGACUACGGACUACGGACUUUUAGCUCCAGCGCGCGGCUCUAGUGAGUUCAAGUUGGGGCCGUUCUGCCCGAGAUGAUAGACUACGUAUGCGCGGAGUACGGAGUGCUAUUGCGACACAUCCUCUUUAGUCUCUUUUUAUGCCUCGACUAAAGGCGACAAGAAUCGACCGUACCAAUCGAACCGUAUAGCGCGAACCGGAGCAUGGAUUGAUAAUUUGAUACAGACUUCCCAUCCGAGAACUACUUGCAGGACGUCAAUGGGGGCUAAUGCUUAUCACACAUA
rnacentral:lncRNA from 1 species